rnacentral:rRNA from 1 species
UACGUAGGGCGCAAGCGUUAUCCGGAAUUAUUGGGCGUAAAGAGCUCGUAGGCGGCUUGUCGCGUCGACCGUGAAAACUUGGGGCUCAACCCCAAGCCUGCGGUCGAUACGGGCAGGCUCGAGUUCGGUAGGGGAGACUGGAAUUCCUGGUGUAGCGGUGAAAUGCGCAGAUAUCAGGAGGAACACCGGUGGCGAAGGCGGGUCUCUGGGCCGAUACUGACGCUGAGGAGCGAAAGCGUGGGGAGCGAACAGG